GAGACUCGCAGACGGAGCGGCAGCCAGAGCCUGAGUGGAAUUGCACGUGGGAAGACGGCCCCGGGAAGCCUCAGACCGAGAGGCUGCAGAGGGCAACAGACGCCCGAGGAGAGGCCAGAGGGACAGGGCAGGGAGAAACGCGUGAGCCGCUUAGAUUCCUAAAGGAAGGUGGAUGCAGAAACCUCUAUACUCAUCCUAGUCCAAACUAGGCCUGGCAUGGUUGGGGCACCAGAUUUAGACAUCUAAAGUUGCUGCUGUCCCAGGUCUUAAGAUAACGCUUCCUGGAACUUUCUGUCACUUCUUCCAAAUGACUCAGAGCAGAUUCAAGAUUCCUGACCCUCAACUGCUUAAGUCAUCGUGCCGGUGUUCUUAGGUCUUCUCAGUGGAAGUUCUUUUGAUGGUGUAACUUCAUUCCAUUCUUUUAAAAUCUGAUAUUGGAUAGUGAUGACCAGCUUUGAAAAGCUGCACCCUUAAGUCUGAAGUAUCUCCUGAAGUGGUCCCUUUAUCAGUGCCCCACAGCGGCUUGCUAGGCACACCACUUGGCUUCAUGGACUGCAAGGAGGCAAACACUGGGGAUUGGAGCAAGUCAACCAGGACAGCGAACCCUGGGCUCUAUGUACAGAGGUCCAUCUCCACUGCUGGAGAGCCUACCCCCUGUCCUGCAACGGCUCAUGCACUGCUGUGCACAACGGGGAAGGAAUGGAGAUAGGGAGAAGAGAGGCAUUCAGAGGGGAGGGGAGAACGAUGAACUGCAACAUUACCCAUCAACUUUAAAGACUGGAUUUAUUUGGAGAAAAACAAAAAAAACCCUCAACCCAAAGGAUGGGAUUUUACAUCUCAAGACAUCUCCCAAGUAAUGUCUACAGAUUACAAAUCAUUUUCAUAGAAGAUAUUUUUGUACAAAUUUUACAUGUAUUCAGGAGCGGGACAUAAGUCAACCCCUGUUUUUAUUUUAACAGAGGAGCAAAGUAGGAGAGUGGGACAAAACAGCUGUCUUCUGGAUGCAACUAUCUGGAAAGGAAAUAGACAUGAAGAGGGCAAACUACCUUCUCAUUGUCUACAACAAUGGUUUAAAAACCCGAUCAACUGUGGGUAUCUCUGCAAAAGCCCACCCCUAGCUACUCGCCAAUCAAAUCCAGCGGAGAAGGGAUUUGCUGUGCCUACUGCUGCAGCCCGGGACACCACGCUCCUGCACAGCAGGCCUAGGAUGAAGGCAUCAUCUGUCUGCAGGUACCUGACUACCCACAACAGGGAGGCUUGCCAUCUUUGGAGCUGACCNUACAAAGGUGCACAUCAAAGCAGACAGGUCAA